rnacentral:snRNA from 1 species
AGCUUUGCGCAGUGGCAGUAUCGUAGCCAAUGAGGUUUAUCCGAGGCGCGAUUAUUGCUAAUUAAAAGAACAGACUCCACAUCUCAGCACAAGGUAAGCACCGUUUCCACACCAACUGUUGAAGCCUGGGUUUUCAG